GCCAUUCGUUCCCCACACCGAAACCCUAGCUUCUUGGAGGCGGCGCAGGCAACGGCGCCGGCGCAAUCGACGGCGGCGGAAGGCGGCGGAGCAGGGCGGCAGCGCAGGCUACGGCGAUGGAGGGCGGCGUCGCAGGCGGCGGUGCAGGCUUUGGCGCCGGAGCAGGGCGGCGGCGCAGGCGAAGGCGGCGGAGCAAGGCGGCAGCGGAGCAGGCCGGCGGCGGAGGCUACGACGGCCGAAGGGGAGGACCUCUGCCAAUGGGAGGAUGAGUGCGCAGGGGCCUACGCCUGCAUCCCCCACCGCGUUGGCAAUGUAUUUAGGCGAAUCCCUUGUACGGUCGAUGUUAGGGUGCAACCCUAUGCGACAGUAGAAGCUGAUGGUAGGAAAAUCAUCAGUAAAGGAGGCACUGGGCAUUGGGUAAUCGAUUCAGAGAGUUUUUCGAUUGAUUUCCUAAUGGAAAGUUUGAGGGUUGAGUUUAAGUGGGGCUCGAACCAAUCUCCCUUAGUGUGGUAUUUUAACAAAAAUUUGGGUGGGGAUGUUAGGCUCAUAAGGGACACUGAUUUGCCAGAUAUUUUUGAGAUGUAUGCAACCGAGGCCAGUUUCCACCUACUUGUAGCAGUUCUUGAGGAAAGCAUGGAUGUUGCUUCUGUGUGUUGUGUGCAUGAGCCCAUUGCUAUCAUCCCACCUGAGAACCCUUCCCACAAUGAUGGUUCUGGACAAGCUGCUACUAAUGUUGGAGGUUCUGCACAGCCUACAACAGUGGAAGCAGAUGUUAGAGAGCCUGACAUGUUUGAUAAUGAGGAAGAAUAUGUUGGUGUUAAUGAUGAGCAGUUGUAUCUGCCUCCAAAACCUACUCAGCCACCUGACACCUCUGGCCAAUCCUCUCAGCCUGCUGCCACAGGGUUUGGUGGCCAAUCCUCUUAGCCUGCUGCCA
rnacentral:lncRNA from 1 species